rnacentral:rRNA from 1 species
UUCCUCUUAGAAUAAGAGGUAAGGCCUGCUCACUGAAAAUUGAAGAGCCGCAGUAUUUUGACUGUGCUAAGGUAGCAUAAUCAUUAGUCUUUUAAUUGGGGACUGGUAUGAAUGGCUAAACGAGAGAAUAACUUUUUUUAUUAAAAAAAUUGAAUUUAACUUUUUAGUGAAAAGGCUAAAAUGACUCAGAAAGACGAGAAGACCCUAUAGAGUUUUAUUUAGUUAUAAUAUAAGUUUUAUUAGAUUUAAAAUAACUUAUUUCUAUCACUAGAUUUUGUUGGGGCGACAUUAAGAUAAAAGAAACUCUUUAUUUUGUAAACUUAAAUUUAAGGAUUGAUUGAUCCUCUAGAAGAGAUCAAAAGAAAAAAUUACCUUAGGGAUAACAGCGUAAUCUUUUUUGAGAGUUCUAAUCGACAAAAAGGUUUGCGACCUCGAUGUUGGACUAAAAUUUAGGCAGGGUGUAGCAGUUCUGCUUUUGGGUCUGUUCGACCCGUAAUAUUUUACACGAUCUGAGUUCAGACCG